rnacentral:lncRNA from 1 species
ACUGGUAGCGUGGCCCCUAGCCUUUGGGUCAUCCCUGGCUUGAAGGUGGGGUUUCACUGGGGACCCAGCUCUUCCCGCCCGGAAACCUCUUAGCCUCCCACCGCCAUCAAUAUACCGGCUGCGGUGCCCAGGCUGUCCACGCUAAGGGGUGCCCACAGGCCCAUGCCGAGCCACCCUCAGCCCCGCAGCCUCCCUCACGUUCUCGUUAGUGCCCAGAGUCUGGAGGGGGCUGAGGCGGCUGGAGGCUGGUGUGUCAGCAGCCCUAUAUCACGCACAUGUCUGUCUGGGUCGCAACAGUUCCCCGGGCUCAGCCACAACUUUGCUUCACACCAAAGCAAGCCCUGGGAGCAGGGAGAGGCCAGGGAACAUGAGCAAGCACUUCCUAGCCUGCAAGGUCAGGGUGUUUCCCAGGCCCCCAAGAGCACAGGGCUGCCCAGGUCCAGAGCCACAGCUGGGCCGCUGCAACUGCACCUGGGAGCAUGGUGGGAGCAUGGUGCUCGCGUCCCGCCAGCUCUGUAAGGUGCAGGGUUCUUGCCUGUUUCUGGCCCCGGCUGGUUCUGUGAAGCAUGCAGGCCGGACUGCACCUCCCCCACUGCAGCUGGCGCUCUCGCAGUGGCCACUCCAGAGGGGGCACCACUGCCAUCAAAAGUUUGCUGUAUCACCCAGGCUGGAAUGCAGUGGUGCAAUUAAAGCUCACCAUGGCCUUGAACGCCUGAGAUCAACAGAUAUUCCUGACUUAGCCUCCCCAGUAACUAGGACCACAGAUUACUUACUUUGUGGACUCCACCUGCUAUCUCAUAAAGACACUUAAGCAGCAAUGUGGAGAGGUACACCUGAAAAGUAACGGAAUCCUUACGUCAGUAAUCUGCACUAAUUUGCCAGGACAAGAACCCAGAACCCACUGAGCUGCGGGCAGUGGGAAUAAAUGGGCUGUAACACACUGCCACUUGCCAGACUAUGGAAGAAAGAGAGCUGUAACAUGCUCCUGCUUGCUGAGCUGCAGGAGUGAAGAACUGCAACAUCUAACAUCUCAGACCUUGGGACUCCUCAGAUGAUCACAUACUGUUGUAUGUAUAAUUUCAGCCUUUUAAAUUUAUUGAGACUGAUAUUAUGACACAGAAAAAUGUCCAUCUUGCUGAGGGUUCCAUGAACACUGUGUUGUCGUAUAUCCCAGCUCUGCCAAUAAGACUGAGGGAGAGUUACAUGAGAGUGCUAAACAUCUAGUAAAUAUCUUGGAAAAUGCAGCCUUAUUCUUCAGCAGAGGAAAAGUAUUUUUUUCUCUCUCUCUCUGACCACUGCUAUGUUUGGAUGUGAUACUUGAAAAAGUAGCAGUCUUAUAAAGAGUAGGACAAGCACACGGCUGACAAGUGAAAUGGGAUGAGAUAAUGGAGUAUAGAUGUUGAGCAAAGGAGAUAGCCACAGGAUCCAUGUGUAGAGUUCCUUGACAUCCCACUCACAUAUAAGGAUUGCAGUGUCCUCUGAGCACAGAAUUGUGGUGGAUCCAAAGUACAUGUGAAUGGGAGUUCAGUGAGACUCAAAGGGAAAACAAAAAUAAUAGCAGGAAGAACCUCACCAUCAGCUCAGGGGAACAGAUGGAGUGAAAAUGCUAGUGCAUCCUGUUAUUAGCCGACCUUGAAUCAAGUUAUACACCCAAUCAAUGGAAAAAGAGGAAGAGAACAAAAGAAGCGGAGAUUGCUAUAAAAGCCUCUAGGUAACUUGGAAAUGUAGCAUGAUUCAAACCUAUUUUAUACUUUUUCUAGAUAGUCCUUAGGGCCAUAAAAGCACAUUUUUGAAAUACACCAACUUAGAAAAUGAACAGAUAUGUUCCUGCACAUUGUACAGCUGCACUUACUCCCCUCCACAUGUAUACAUAUACACACAGAAACACACACACAUAUCUGCUUAAAUAUUAGGAAAAAUAUUAUAUCAAAAACAAUGAAAUACAAGGUCAUUGAAGCCCCAUGUAAAACUCUCAUGUUGCUACAUGAGGACAUUUAAGGACAGUUAACUUGGCACUCACUUAGAUUCUUCACAAAUGAAGUUUACUUUUGGAUGAAUGGGAUCAUUAAAAAAAUACUAACUGCAACAUGGUGGCAAUUAAAAAUAAAGUAACUGUGCAAACAUGAGGCAAGCUUUCAGCGCAUCUUCUACCAUGACAUUAUUAAUAGUAUGAUGUAAUACACAGGAAGAGUAAUUUCUCUAAGAUGCACAAGUGUCAAAAGUACAUCAAGUACAAAGAGCAUAAAGAUCUAUUGCUAAAAAACUAGGUAAGUUGAUACUAAAUAUCCAGAAUACAGAUAGAAAGCUGAUUGGCGAGUUCCAGGGGCUGGUGGAAGAGAGGGAGUGACUGCUUAAUAGGUAACAGGUUUUCUUCUGGAGUGAUGAAAAUGUUUUAGAAAAGAUAAAGAAGGGACCGGGCGCGGUGGCUCAUGCCUGUAAUCCUGCACUUUGGGAGGCCGAGGCGGGUGGAUCACGAGGUCAGGAGAUCGAAACCAUCCCGGCUAACGUGGUGAAACCCCGUCUCUACCAGAAAUACAAAAAAUUAGCCAGGCAUGGUGGCGGGUGCCUGUAGUCCCAGCUACUCGGGAGGCUUAGACAGGAGAAUGGCAUGAACCUGGGAGGCAGAGCUUGCAGUGAGCUGAGAUGGGCCACUGCACUCCAGCCUGGGCGACAGAGCGAGACUCAGUCUCAAAAAAAAAAAAAAAAAAGGAUAAAAAGAUAAAGAAGGGAAUGAUGGUACAAUAUAAUGAAUAUACUAAAUGUCACUGAAUUGUGGACUUUAAACUGGUUAAUUUUAGGUGAUAAAAUUUUUUUUCAAUAAAAUAUAAGUAUAAUAUAAAACAUAUAUAUGAAAUCGGUUGCAGCAGAGGCUACUUUUAGUUUAUAAAAAUAAUGUUUCUCUUGAUGUCCCCUUAAAUUACAUACAUAGCUGUACCUGUAAAACCCUGUAGGCAACCUAUUAACCUUUGAAUUAGUAUCUUUAUCUCCCCAUUAUUCUUCUCACCCAAUAAGUUCUCAAGUCUGGUUGAGUCUAACAAUGCACCAAAGGUAGAAUGCUUGCUCUUUAAUUUAAUACUCCAUCAGUCUGAAUUCAACUCCUCCAAUUUAGUGACUGGUGAAGCAAGAGAUUGAGAUGGGAGAGGAAGACCAUCUUGCAUUGCCUUAUUUUCCUUAGGUAUCCAAGCUCUCUACCUUUGCCCUUGCCUACUCCUUACUUGUCCAGUAAUCCUGUAAUGAUAAUAUAAUGAAUUAUUACAUGGUACAGGAAAUAAAAUGAAAUACUUUCAAAGAAUGUUUUUCUUCAUAACAAUCCAUAGAAAAAAAUAAAAUCUUUAUAAAAGAACACGUGUUCUCAAAAUCCAGAAGAAAGGAAUGGCAUUUAAUCUCAUCUAGUACAGUUUUUGAGCUCAUCUGUGUAGAAUUUAUAUAAUGGCCUCUUAAGGAUGUUUAGAUUUUAUAAUAGCUGAAACAAGGCCAUGUAAUUGUUUUGUCUUGAGAAUAAACAAACAAAUGUACAUGAAAACUAAAUGAAGAAAAACAUCAACGCAAAUAAUACAUUGUAUAGAAUGUUAGAGCCAAUGAGAUCUGAGAGACUAUUAAAAUCUAAACAAAUUGUUAAAAGGAAUCAUCUGACAUCCUUUAUCAAUCUGGUGGUAAGACAGCCUGAAGUAAAAAUAAUUAUUUUCUUAUUUCAGUAGAGCGCUUCCCUUACCUGAACAAUAAUCUAUUACAGUUCUGCAGGAAUUUAUGGUUUGCAAAGUAAUGCACUAACCCUGCCACCUUGGAAUUUAUGACAACUUUUGAGUCAGUCAUGACCAAUAUUGCAAAGAUGAACAAGGUGAAGCAAAUCUGACUUUUUUCUCCAUGCACAAUUUUUGAGAACUAACAAAUGAAUAAAAAAUCUCAGAUAAAUUAAGUUGUUUGCAAGACAUCAUAUAACUAGUAAAUGGUACACAUUUUAAUUUAGGUUUUCUGUCUUCAAUUGCAUACCUUUCACAACACCAUGCCCACUAUUGACACAGGUAGGGAUAUUUUCCCCCAAUGCUUAUCAUGUCUCAUUAUUUGAUGGGAUCAUUUUAUGACAGUGAUGAGGCUUUAAGUGAAUAUUUUGUUUAAUCAGAAAAAACUUUAAAUCAGACCCAAACCUGACUUUACCAUCAUUAGCACUAAAUAAUUAAUUAGCUGAAACUUCAUCUAAAAGUUAGCUGAAAAUUAGCUGAAAAUUAGCUGAAAAUUCAGCUAGAACUUUUUGCUUAAUUACUUAUAAUACAUGAAUUUAUUAGAAUAUAAAUAAUGAAUAUCUAUAAAAAGGAAAGAAGCUUGCAGUUAUUUCUUGUCAACAAAUUACAGUAUAUUUUAAUUAUAAGAAAUAUGAUGAGUAUUUAAUCCCUAUUUUUGAAAUGAGGAUGCUGAGAUUCACGGGUUUGUUGUGAAGUCUACAUAACAUAAUGGACAAAAGCACUCAUCACAUUAUCUGGCACAUGAAAUAAUAUAACUAUUUUCAAUGGAUGUUCUCAGUAUAGGUGCCAUUCUUGAGCAGAAAGAGUAUACAUUACACUCAAAGUUCUUAGACUACAUUUCAUCAAAGGCAAAACCAAAAAUCUGAAUUUUUCAUGAUUAAAAAUACAGUUAGUUUAUAAUAUAUUUCAGUAAAUUCAUACUCAGAUAAUUAAACUUACCUAAAUAUAUUUAAAAGAACUAAAGUAGAAAAACAUAAAUAGGAAAAAUCUAGUUAUACUAACCAAUAUAUUUUAUGUCAGUUUGAAAAGAUGGAAAAAAUGUGUACCACUAUUUGAAAAAAGUGUUACAUAAGAGUCUCAGAAAAAUAAAGUAUUUUCAACAGCAAAUUUGUUUUUUUUUAAUUAGGAAAUAUUACAAAACUCUUCCUAAUACACUACUUGAAAUAAUGAUAGACUAUAAAGUAAAUCAAAACUUAACAAAAUAUGUAGUACUAAAAAAAAAGAGGCAGUCUCAAAUUGUUCUUAUUUCUACUUAAAACCUCUCAAAUUAUGUCAUAGGUAAGAUUAUUAAUAUCAAUACACUAUUAGCUACUUUAUAGACAUUUGAUUUUUAACUAUAUAUAUAUACACACAUGCACAUAUACAUACAUAUAUAUACACACAUAUGUACAUACAUACGUAUGUAUAUGUAUAUGAGGAAGGAAGAUUGUUUUAGGCUGGUAGCUCUAGACUGACCUGGGCAAUAUAGCAAGACCCCAUCUCUGCAAGAUAAAUAAAUAAAUAAAUAAAUAAAUAAAUAAAAUAUCUUACUGAUCCACAUCAUCUCCAACUAUUAUUAUUUUAAUUGUGCCAGUCAAAUGGCAAAAACACUGCAAAAAAUUUUGCAAAUUUACAAAUAAGUUUAUAGUUCAAUGAAAUUUCACCGAGUAAACACAUACAGAACCACCAAGCGGAUCAAAAAAUAGGUUCUUACAGCAGGAUAUAAAACACCCCUGCCUCUCAUUACUACCAUCCACUAAAAGAUAACUGUAUUCUGUUAUCAAACAUCAUUGAUUAUUUUUACUUAUUUCAAUAUUACAUUACAGAAAACAUACAGCGUGCAUAUUUUUAUCUGUUUUGUUCAACUGUAUGUUUGUCUUUCACUAGGUAUGAAUCAUUCUUACUAUUUCAUGUGUCAGGCAUCAUUUGUGCUUUAUGUUAUUUUAUAUGAUGACUAUUGGUUUGACUGUUGAGACAAAUUUGGGAGUUUUAGUUAUUGGCUACCAGAUAAGAAUUUAUGUUGGAUACAUACAUAUGAGGUGACUUGCUGGGUCUUGGGAAAUGAUGAUCCAGGUUUUAUAGAUAUUAUCAAAAGUUUUCCAAGAUGCUUGAGUAAUGUACUUUUCAUAGUAAUUUGAAGAAAUUCCUUAUAUAUAUUUGGAAUACUAGUCCUUUGUCAGAUACAUGCAUUGCAAAUAUCUGGUCCCUUAUUGUC